rnacentral:rRNA from 1 species
UUCCGGUUGAUCCUGCCGGAGACUACCGCUAUCGGAGUCCGAUUUAGCCAUGCUAGUCCACCGAUUCGUUCGGGGCAUAUAGCUGAGUAACACGUGGCUAACCUGCCCUGUGGAUGGGAAUAACCUCGCUAACGUGAGGCUAAGACCCAAUAUCAGAUGGGAAUGGAGUUUUUUCAUCUGUGAAACGUUCCGACGCCACAGGAUGGGGCCGCGGCUGAUUAGGUUGUUGGUGAGGUAACGGCUCACCAAGCCGAUAAUCAGUAGCAGGGGUGAGAGCCCGGGCUGUCAGUCGGCAUCUGAGACAAGAUGCCGGACCCUACGGGGUGCAGCAGGCACGAAACCUUCACAAUGCACGCAAGUGCGAUGGGGGGACUCCGAGUGCGGUCUUCCAAAACGGAAGGCCGCUUUUCUGCACUGUAAGGAGGUGCCGGAACAAGGGGUGGGCAAGACGGCUGCCAGCCGCCGCGGUAAUAGCCGCACCCCAAGUGGUAGUCAUUGUUAUUGGGCUUAAAGUGUUCGUAGCCGGACGCGUAAGUCCGCUGUGAAAUCCAUGCGCUUAACGUAUGGACAUGCAGCGGAUACUGCGUGUCUAGGAACCGGACGGCGUCGAGGCUAUUCCCGGGGUAGGGGUGAAAUCCUAAAAUCCCGGGAGGAGCACCUGUGGCGGAAGCGCUCGACGAGUACGGAUUCGACGGUGAGGAACGAAAGCCAGGGGAGCAAAGCGGAUUAGAUACCCGCGUAGUCCUGGCCGUAAACAUUGUGCGUUUGAUGUCGGACAACCUCCGAGGUUGUCCGGUGCCGAAGUGAAAACGUUAAACGCACCGCCUGGGGAGUACGGUCGCAAGGCUGAAACUUAAAGGAAUUGACGGGGGAGCACCACAACCGGUGGAGGCUGCGGUUUAAUUAGAUCCAACGCAGAGCACUCUACCAGAGCCGACAGCAGAAUGAAGGUCAGCUUGAAGAGCUUACCUGACGCGCUGAAAAGAACUGCAUGGCCGCCGUCAGCUCGUGCCGUGAGGUGUCCGGUUAAGUCCGGUAACGAGCGAGACCCCCAUCCGAUGUUGCCAUGGAUCCGUUCGCGGAUUCGGCACUCGUCGGAGACCGCUGGUGAUAAACCAGGGGAAGGUGUGGGCCACGGUAGGUCAGUAUGGCCCGAAUGCUCUGGGAUAC